rnacentral:rRNA from 1 species
UAGCGUAGGGUGCAAGCCGUUGUCCGGAAUUAUUGGGCGUAAAGAGCUCGUAGGCGGUCUGUCGCGUCUGCUGUGAAAACUCAGGGCUUAACCCUGAGCUUGCAGUGGGUACGGGCAGACUAGAGUGCGGUAGGGGAGAUUGGAAUUCCUGGUGUAGCGGUGGAAUGCGCAGAUAUCAGGAGGAACACCGAUGGCGAAGGCAGAUCUCUGGGCCGUAACUGACGCUGAGGAGCGAAAGCGUGGGGAGCGAACAGG